rnacentral:lncRNA from 1 species
UUGCUUAUAGUGGAUCCCACUCCUUUUGGAUUGUGGUAUGUUGACAAAAAAAUUGGAUCCUAGUAUGAAUAUAUUAUCUAGUGCCACAUCCAUCAUUCUUUCAUCCUCCACAUUUAUGAAUCUGAAAAAAACCAUACCUAUUACCUCUCUUAUCUCUUUUUGGUGGAAUGACAACCUCACGAAGAAUCACAACGAGUACCUAUUGGAUGACGAUGAAUGCUCAUCCUUCUUCUUCUAU